UACGUAGGGGGCUAGCGUUGUCCGGAAUCAUUGGGCGUAAAGCGCGCGUAGGCGGCCCGGUAAGUCCGCUGUGAAAGUCCAGGGCUCAACCCUGGAAAGCCGGUGGAUACUGCCGGGCUAGAGUCCGGGAGAGGCGAGUGGAAUUCCUGGUGUAGCGGUGGAAUGCGCAGAUAUCAGGGGGAACACCUAAGGCGAAGGCAGCUCGCUGGAACGGUACUGACGCUGAGACGCGAAAGCGUGGGGAGCGAACAGG
rnacentral:rRNA from 1 species